UGGAGAAUAUUGCACAAUCGGCGCAAGCCUGAUGCAGCCAUGCCGCGUGUAUGAAGAAGGCCUUCGGGUUGUAAAGUACUUUCAGUCGGGAGGAAGGUGGUAAGGUUAAUAACCUUAUCAAUUGACGUUACCGACAGAAGAAGCACCGGCUAACUCCGUGCCAGCAGCCGCGGUAAUACGGAGGGUGCAAGCGUUAAUCGGAAUUACUGGGCGUAAAGCGCACGCAGGCGGUUGAUUGAGUCAGAUGUGAAAUCCCCGGGCUUAAGCCGGGAAUUGCAUCUGAUACUGGUCAGCUAGAGUCUUGUAGAGGGGGGUAGAAUUCCAUGUGUAGCGGUGAAAUGCGUAGAGAUGUGGAGGAAUACCGGUGGCGAAGGCGGCCCCCUGGACAAAGACUGACGCUAAGGUGCGAAAGCGUGGGGAGCAAACAGG
rnacentral:rRNA from 1 species